rnacentral:rRNA from 1 species
GACGUAGGUGGCUAGCGUUGUCCGGAAUUAUUGGGUGUAAAAAGCUCGUAGGCGGUCUGACGGGUUAGAGGCAAAAUUUUCUGACUCAAUCAGAAAAAGAUUUCUAAAACUAUCAGGCUAGAGAGUGGGAGAGGAAAGCGGAAUUUCUGGUGUAGCGGUGAAAUGUGUAGAUAUCAGGAGGAACACCUGUGGCGCAGGCGGCUUUCUAUUCUACCUCUGACGCUGAGGAGCGAAAGCUAGGGGAGCAAACGGG